rnacentral:rRNA from 1 species
UACGGAAGGCAGCAGUGGGGAAUAUUGCACAAUGGGCGCAAGCCUGAUGCAGCCAUGCCGCGCGUAUGAAGAAGGCCUUCGGGUUGUAAAGUACUUUCAGUCGUGAGGAAGGUGUUAAGGUUAAUAACCUUAGCAAUUGACGUUAGCGACAGAAGAAGCACCGGCUAACUCCGUGCCAGCAGCCGCGGUAAUACGGAGGGUGCGAGCGUUAAUCGGAAUUACUGGGCGUAAAGGGCACGCAGGCGGUUAAUUAAGUUGGAUGUGAAAUCCCCGGGCUUAACCUGGGAAUGGCAUUCAAGACUGGUUAGCUAGAGUCUUGUAGAGGGGGUAGAAUUCCAUGUGUAGCGGUGAAAUGCGUAGAGAUGUGGAGGAAUACCGGUGGCGAAGGCGGCCCCUGGACAAAGACUGACGCUCAUGUGCGAAAGCGUGGGGAGCAAACAGGGAUUAGAUACC